AGGGAGAGCAGGGGAGGAGGCGCCAGCAAAAGAAAGUGCGAGGAGCUGCCAGGCAUCAGAGGAGGGCCAGCCAGGUCGGCAAGGGAGCCACAGCCCGGCCAGCUGGGUCACAUGCUGCUGAGGUGACAGGUCAUCUGAGAAGAGCAGAUUCCAGCACCGGGGCCCUUGGGUGAACUCAGAGAGCUGUUUGGGGGCCGUGUUGGGGGAGGGGGAGGAGUCAGUUUGCAGUUGGUUUGGGAAGGAACAGGAGGCAACACGGACAACUUGAACGUGAGAGACCGACAGCCACUGAAUUUCGUCACACCCCGGGUGGCAGCGGAACGUUGGUAGAGAACGAUCCCGAGAACAAGCGUGCGUGCCCAGGACGCGAGCAAGCUGUGCACGCUGGCACCGCCUGCUCUUCCUGCCCGUCUCCGCUCAUGCCCCUGUGCUCCUCGGGCACACAGUUGGCGGCGCGUGCGUUUUUGGCAGAACUAAAGGCGGAGGACAAUCAAGCCGAGGAAGAUCGUUUUGCCCGUGAACUGACUGUAGCCCCACCAGGACCACCGUGCGUGUGGAUGGCAGCCUCUGGAGUUGUGCAGUGUGCGGCCCUGCGCCUGGCCCGGGCUGCGUCUGAUUCGGUAUAA
rnacentral:lncRNA from 1 species